AGUCGAGCGGCAGCGCGGGGGCAACCCUGGCGGCGAGCGGCGAACGGGUGAGUAAUGCAUCGGAACGUGCCCAGUAGUGGGGGAUAACCAGUCGAAAGAUUGGCUAAUACCGCGUACGACCUACGGGUGAAAGCGGGGGACCGCAAGGCCUCGCGCUAUUGGAGCGGCCGAUGUCGGAUUAGCUAGUUGGCGGGGUAAUGGCCCACCAAGGCGACGAUCCGUAGCUGGUCUGAGAGGACGACCAGCCACACUGGAACUGAGACACGGUCCAGACUCCUACGGGAGGCAGCAGUGGGGAAUUUUGGACAAUGGGCGCAAGCCUGAUCCAGCCAUGCCGCGUGAGUGAAGAAGGCCUUCGGGUUGUAAAGCUCUUUCGGCGGGGACGAAACGGUCCGUGCCAACACCACGGAUCAAUGACGGUACUCGCAGAAGAAGCACCGGCUAACUACGUGCCAGCAGCCGCGGUAAUACGUAGGGUGCGGGCGUUAAUCGGAAUUACUGGGCGUAAAACGUGCGCAGGCGGCUCCUUAAGUCAGAUGUGAAAUCCCCGGGCUUAACCUGGGAACUGCGUUUGAAACUGAGGGGCUUGAGUGUGGAAGAGGGGGGUGGAAUUCC
rnacentral:rRNA from 1 species